rnacentral:rRNA from 1 species
GAGUUUGAUCAUGGCUCAGAUUGAACGCUGGCGGCAGGCCUAACACAUGCAAGUCGAGCGGUAGCACAGAGAGCUUGCUCUCGGGUGACGAGCGGCGGACGGGUGAGUAAUGUCUGGGAAACUGCCUGAUGGAGGGGGAUAACUACUGGAAACGGUAGCUAAUACCGCAUAAUGUCGCAAGACCAAAGAGGGGGACCUUCGGGCCUCUUGCCAUCAGAUGUGCCCAGAUGGGAUUAGCUAGUAGGUGGGGUAACGGCUCACCUAGGCGACGAUCCCUAGCUGGUCUGAGAGGAUGACCAGCCACACUGGAACUGAGACACGGUCCAGACUCCUACGGGAGGCAGCAGUGGGGAAUAUUGCACAAUGGGCGCAAGCCUGAUGCAGCCAUGCCGCGUGUAUGAAGAAGGCCUUCGGGUUGUAAAGUACUUUCAGCGGGGAGGAAGGCGAUAAGGUUAAUAACCUUGUCGAUUGACGUUACCCGCAGAAGAAGCACCGGCUAACUCCGUGCCAGCAGCCGCGGUAAUACGGAGGGUGCAAGCGUUAAUCGGAAUUACUGGGCGUAAAGCGCACGCAGGCGGUCUGUCAAGUCGGAUGUGAAAUCCCCGGGCUCAACCUGGGAACUGCAUUCGAAACUGGCAGGCUAGAGUCUUGUAGAGGGGGGUAGAAUUCCAGGUGUAGCGGUGAAAUGCGUAGAGAUCUGGAGGAAUACCGGUGGCGAAGGCGGCCCCCUGGACAAAGACUGACGCUCAGGUGCGAAAGCGUGGGGAGCAAACAGGAUUAGAUACCCUGGUAGUCCACGCCGUAAACGAUGUCGACUUGGAGGUUGUGCCCUUGAGGCGUGGCUUCCGGAGCUAACGCGUUAAGUCGACCGCCUGGGGAGUACGGCCGCAAGGUUAAAACUCAAAUGAAUUGACGGGGGCCCGCACAAGCGGUGGAGCAUGUGGUUUAAUUCGAUGCAACGCGAAGAACCUUACCUACUCUUGACAUCCAGAGAACUUUCCAGAGAUGGAUUGGUGCCUUCGGGAACUCUGAGACAGGUGCUGCAUGGCUGUCGUCAGCUCGUGUUGUGAAAUGUUGGGUUAAGUCCCGCAACGAGCGCAACCCUUAUCCUUUGUUGCCAGCGGUUAGGCCGGGAACUCAAAGGAGACUGCCAGUGAUAAACUGGAGGAAGGUGGGGAUGACGUCAAGUCAUCAUGGCCCUUACGAGUAGGGCUACACACGUGCUACAAUGGCGCAUACAAAGAGAAGCGACCUCGCGAGAGCAAGCGGACCUCAUAAAGUGCGUCGUAGUCCGGAUUGGAGUCUGCAACUCGACUCCAUGAAGCCGGAAUCGCUAGUAAUCGUAGAUCAGAAUGCUACGGUGAAUACGU